rnacentral:rRNA from 1 species
GGACUACCAGGGUAUCUAAUCCUGUUUGCUCCCCACGCUUUCGCUCCUCAGCGUCAGUAUUGGCCCAGGUCGCCGCCUUCGCCACUGGUGUUCCUCCCGAUAUCUACGAAUUUCACCUCUACACCGGGAAUUCCGCGACCCUCUUCCAUACUCAAGCCUAUCAGUUUCGAAUGCACUUCCUCGGUUGAGCCGAGGGAUUUCACACCCGACUUAGUAGGCCGCCUACGAGCGCUUUACGCCCAAUAAUUCCGAGCAACGUUUGCACCCUCCGUAUUACCGCGGCUGCUGGCAC